rnacentral:rRNA from 1 species
GUGUCAGCAGCCGCGGUAAUACGUAGGUGGCAAGCGUUGUCCGGAAUUAUUGGGCGUAAAGCGCGCGCAGGCGGGAAUCUAAGUCUGUCUUAAAAGUGCGGGGCUCAACCCCGUGAUGGGAUAGAAACUGGGUUUCUUGAGUGCAGGAGAGGACAGUGGAAUUCCCAGUGUAGCGGUGAAAUGCGUAGAUAUUGGGAGGAACACCAGUGGCGAAGGCGACUGUCUGGACUGUGUCUGACGCUGAGGCGCGAAAGCCAGGGAAGUGAACGGGAUUAGAUACCCCGGUAAUCCUGGCCGUAAACGAUGGGUACUAGGUGUUGGGGGUAUCGACCCCUCCAGUGCCGGAGUUAACGCAAUAAGUACCCCGCCUGGGGAGUACGGCCGCAAGGUUGAA